rnacentral:RNase_P_RNA from 2 species
UGGGUCGGCUGGACGGUCGCGUCACGGGUUCGCCCGUGCCGAGGAACGUCCGGGCUCCACAGGGCAGGACGGUGGGUAACACCCACCCGGAGCAAUCCGCGAGACAGUGCCACAGAGAGCAGACCGCCCGCACCGCACUCGUCGCGGGAGCGGGUAAGGGUGAAAGGGUGGUGUAAGAGACCACCGGGGGUCGUGGUGACACGAUCCGCCAGGUAAACCUCGUCCGGAGCAAGGCCAGACAGGGGAUGUUGACGCGGCUCGCCGAGUCCCCGGGUAGGCCGCUGGAGCGGCACGGCAACGUGUCGCCGAGAGAGAUGACCGUCCACGGGGGCCCUGAGCUUGUUGAAGGGUCCCCCGGACAGAACCCGGCGUACAGGCCGGCCCAUUCG